rnacentral:lncRNA from 1 species
UGAGUGAUGUCAUAUGGCCCUAAAAAUUGGGGCCUCCUAUAUAACCUUUUAGUCCAAGAAUUAUAGUAGCAAAAACGGUAUUUUAUUUGUAUAAUUCAUGCUUUUUGGGAUUUAUUCUGAAAUGUUUUUGGCAUUUUUCAUAUAGCGACUCUCUUUUAUGUAAAUUAACCAACUUAGCACCUAAACUGAGAAUUUUUUAUUUUUUAUUUGGUUUAGAAUGCGGUAAGUGUUGAACAUAAACGGCCUUAACUUUAUUUCUGCCCAGGACCUCCAAAAUCAAUGAAUCAACCCUGUUGGCAUGUCCAUCAAAGGUGCCUUCUUAUGCGUUCAAGUGACAUCAUUUUCACCUUAUGUGUAGUCUUUUUUUUUUUAUUUUUUAUUUUUAUAAUGUAUGGAAAAAAGGGAACUAAAAUGUAAUAAGGUGUGCGUUGUCUUUCUGCGUCUUGGUACAGGUGUUAAUUUUGUUGACGUGAGUUAACCUACUGAAUCAAGGAGAUUUAUUUCCUAAGUUAAUUAGGUUAUUUACUUCCUUGUUUUAUAUAGUUGACACAUCCUUGUAUAAUUAUGAGAUAUUCUCCUAAUUAAUUAUUGUAUCUAUUUCCUUGUAAAGCACCCUUCAAACCAAAUAUUAUAUUUUAGCACGGUAUUAGAGCAAUCGAUCCUAAGUUGUCUCUAAACCCUUAAAUCAUACCCUCAAAUUCAAACCCAAACCCUAAAUCAAAUUCCUUACCUCUCAAAUCAAAUCCUCUUGUCCAACUCCUUAAACACAUACCUCUCAAAUCAAAUUCGUAUCAAAUUUCUCAAAUCAAAUUCAUCAAAUUCUCAAAUCAACUCCUCAACCACAAACACACACACAUAUCAAAUCUUACUUCUGUUUAGAUGUUAGGACCCCUUACGAUUCUCUCCCUCCUUGCAGACUCACAUAAGCAUGCGGUCAAUCCUGCUGAACCGGUUACCUGGGCUCGUGCUUCUAUCGCCACAACCAAAGGUUCUGCUUUUCAUACGUCGUCUUCAAAGCCCAAAUGGAUUAUUGACUCGGGUGAUACAGAUCACAUGACAUUUGAUCUUGGCCAACUUAUUAGUCGCAAACCAUCCACUCAAACGGUGGUGUCUAAUGCUAAUAGUACCAUUUCCUUGUAGUUGGGAAAAGCUCUCUAUAUCUCUCUAACUGCAUACAUCUAGAUUCUAUAUUGAUUGUUCCAUUAUUGGACUAUAACUUAUUGUCUGUUGCAUAACUUACUACUACUUUGGGGUGUACUAUAACAUUUUGACUGAAUCAUUGUGUUUUUCAAGACAUCUUUAGGGGGAAGACGAUUGAUUAUGGUACUAGACGGGCACCGGAUAGUGAGACCAUGGUUGGUACCAUGGUUGGUCUAGCUUUCACAACCAAUUGAGCUAGUUCUGAGAGGCAGAAAGACAAAGUUUGGUUAUAGCAUAAAUAUCGUGGGCAUGCCUCAUUCGAUUAUCUAAAGAAGUUGUUUCCAUCAUUAUUUUUCAGUUUUGAUGUUUCCAACUUAUAGUGUGAUACGUGUGAAUUGGCCAAGAGUCAUCGUGUUCUAUUACCAUUAAGUAUAAAUAAAAGUUUGGUUAUCUUCUCCCUUAUUUAUUAUGAUGUUUGGGGGCCUGCUCAAAUCGCUACUCCGGCUGGAGCUCAAUGGGUUGUCACUUUUAUUGAUGACUGCACCAAAUGACCUGGGUUUCCCUUCUUAAAAGCAAAGGAGAAGUCAGUUUAACAUCUCAACAGUUCCAUAAAAUGGAUAUCAUCUCUACAACAUCACUGAAGCUUCGUUUUUGAAGUAAUGGAUUGAUGAGAUGCAAACCAAGUCAAGCAAUUUUAACACACGCCAACAGAAUCUUAGAGGAAUAAGAACUUAAUUUGUUGUAUUUUUUCUUUUUUUCUUGUUCUUUUUUAAGGGCCAAAUAUCAUCUAAUGACUGAAAAACUGACACCAAAUUUUAUUUAUUGGUUUUUAGGUCUAAUGGCCUCUAAACGUUGAUUCGAUUCGCAUUUGGUCUCUCAAUUUCCAAAAUCGUUCCCGUGGUCCUUCAACUUCAAUUUCUUUAGGACAAAUGGUACUGCCAUUAAUUUUGUUAUCUUUUCCGUUAAAUGCAGGGGAAAAUUAUCUUUUUAUAUUAUUUUUAAUUUCCACCAUUUGAAUAUUUCUUUCACCCAAAAACCAAAAAUAAAAACUAAAAACUAAAAAACCUUCUUCCUAUCCUCACCACAAUAACCACAACCUCUCCAACUCAACCCCACCGAAAUUUGCCCAUGUACCCCAAGAGUAAAGAAAUUUCCGAUUUUGACCCUCAACAGUACACCAUGUGCCAUGCACAUGAUCAAAUUUGAUGGCAAAACUAGUUGUCCUAAUAAAACUGAAAAUUAAGAGAUGAAAAUGAGAAUCAAGUCAAAGUUCAGGGACCACUGAACCUAAAAAUCCUUUAUUUUUUGGGUACACUACGGAAUACCCCCCUAAACUACUUCGACUGUUGCAAUUACCACCAUGAAUUAAUUUUUCAACCAAUUUAGCUCUCGUAUUAAAUUUAUUUGUCAAUUUUGCCCCUACCGUUAGCUUUUCCACAACUCCAUCCAAAUGCCAGUCAAAUAUAAGGGUAAAUUUGACGUUGUACAAGGUAUAGUAUUAAGGAAAAUAAGGAAAAUCUAAAAAAAUCAAAUAGAGAAAAAGAAAACCUCCCACCAAUUUCUUCUCCCCCAUUUCCCAACCACCACCUACAGACCACUCCUCCCUCCUCCCACCCCGCACCUGCAGAAACUGACCCAAUCUCCAACUAUAAAGAGGCUAACCAAUACAGGGUUGUGGAUGACCUUCUUUUUCACCAAGGAAUAUGCAUCUAGCAAUGCCAGCACUAAACUCCAGAUGAUUUGCAGACCCACUGAAGCAAUCAGGUAGCUGCAAAAUGAGCAUUGCCUUAAACAAAUAUUACAAUUUUUUUUUUCAGGACAAGAAAUGGCAUGUGAUGCAUCAAGAGUUGCAGAAAUCUGCCCCAUAAGCCUACAGAAUCAGGUUACACAAAACUGCACUUAGACGGCAAUUUUCUCAGAAACAUUAGAUAUCAUAAACAGAUAGAGCUAAACAAGUCAACAACAGUGAGAAAAACAAGCAUAAUGACUUCUAAGUCACUAGUUCCAAUUAUUAUAUCAUUCUAAAAUAGAAAAAGCAAUACAUCAAUGGCUCAUAUUGACGUAUUUUACGCCAAGAGCUCAUCCCAAAAUUCUAACUACGACCAACUCUAGCACUUCCGGUGCGCCAAAGAAUGAAGAAUCAAAUUGAAUCACCAUAUCACCAUUGUCAAAACCUCAAUUCAAUCAUACACUAAGCAAACACAGAAAUUAACAACAACAAAAACUACGAGAAAUUAAAAUUUUCACGAUAUCCUCUAAGUGCUUUUGCGUAUGAGAGACUAUGAGUAGUUUUUCAGAGAAUCUCUCUCCUGAUGGCGUAUCCGUAUUAAGAUUGACAAAUGUUAUCCAACGAUUAUUCUAAGUACGAUCUCUGCCUUCUUUGCCAAGCUCAUUCCUCCAGAGGAGUUCUUAGCUCCGUCUCUGUCUGAGAUUGCUAUGGUUGACGUCGCUCGGAUUUGACGGUGCUGGAGAAGUAAUUGGAGGCGUGUCAUCGGUCAACGGAGAUUGAGAUAGAGAUGAUUGCGGUGGCACCAGGGGUGAAGAAGGAUGGAGCAUCCAACGGAGAUGGAGGAAGGGAAAUUGGCGAUGGAGUUUUGGCUGAAGGUGAAUCAACGGCGAGUUGCGGUGAUGGAGUAGGCGAGGGCUGUGGUGGAGAUGACAAAGAUACAAUGGGGAAUUGGAAUAGCAGAAAAGCCAGAAGCAGAGCUCGAUAAACCUAGCCAUUAUUGAAGAAGAAGAAGAAGAAAGUUCGAGAUGCUAGUUGAUGAAGAUUGAGUUGAUUAAUAGACAAAACAAAAGGGCAAAACAGUAAUCAAACAUAGCUGCUAAAUUUAAGAAAUCGACAGCUGUCAAUUUUGGGGUUUAUUUUAGGUGUGUUUAUAUACAUUGAAUGGUAUAGGGUUUCUUUUUAGAACUAUGUCCAGGAAUGGAUAUUUAACUAAUUUUCUUUAUACAAAUUUAGUUAAAUACCCAAUCUUAGACAUAGUCUUAUAAAGACACCCUCUACCAUUUAAAAACUAUAUACACACAACAACAAAAAAUCCAAAAAUCGACAGCUGUUGAUUUUUCAAUGUAAUAGCUAUUUUUUAGUUUAUUUUUGUGUGUAAAAUAACUAUAUUGCCCUUGUAUGAUGGAUUUGAGAGAGAAAAAUCAGAUCUGCCGAAAAACCAAAUCAAAUUCAUUUUCUCCUUUCUCGGUGUUGGAGUAAGAGGCGCUGUCAUUGAAGCUUAAUCUCAGGUCCAACUAUAUUCUUCAUCUAUGGUCUACAAUUUUCAAUAUUACACCUUCGAUUUCUUAUUCUAAAAUCGUGCUUCUAUUCAUAUUUUUUUCUUUUCGGAUUGUCCGGAACCUCGAACGAACCUCGAUCAGAUGCUCCUAGCUCUACUCCUCAUCUUCGAGCUCUACUUCUCUUUCGCCACGUCGUAAUCGUCGUUGUCAUCGUCAUCAUCGUCGUUGUCGUCGUCGUUGUCAUCGUUUGGUUUGGAGUUGAGAUUUUUUAUCUUUUGCUUCAAUUACGUGUUUCUCUUCGGAUUUUAGUUGAUUUUUGGAAUGUAUUUUAAGCUUUGAUGACCGAUUUAUCUUUUGUUACUAUUUCAGUUAUGGAUCUCAUUUUUGUUUAACAAUGUACUUCUAUAACAGAGUAUUAACAAUGUACUUCUAUGACAGAGUAUUAACAAUGUAAUUCUAUGACAUAAUAGUAUUAACAAUCUAGGCUCGGCUUGUUUUCAAUACUCCGAGAAUUUUUUUUAUAAUAAAUUGUUUGGGUUUUUAAAAAAAAUCUAGGCUCGGCUUAUUUUGAGUUGGUCUAGUUUGUUCUUUCUUCAUCCUUUCUUUAGUAGACAUAUAUUAGAAAUAGCAAUAUGACAGGCAUUAAUCAACAUGACAUUACACUAGCAGUGUUACUACCCUAGACUAGAACAUUACAGGGGUGGACAUGCAUUAGAAAUAAGAUAUCAUAGAAAACUAGCAGUAUUAUUACCCUAGACUGAAACAUUAUAGGAGUAGAUAUGCAUUAGAAAUAGGAUGUCAUAGGAAACUAGCAGUGUUAUUACCCUAGACUGGAACAUUACAAGGGUAGACAUGCAUUAGAAAUAGGAUGUCAUAGGAAACUAGCAGUGUUAUUACCCUAGACUGGAACAUUACAGCCAUUAAUCAACAUGAUAGUAAAGGUGUGGAACAUUGUAGCCAUUAAGCAAGAUGACGUGUUAUUGAAGCUACGGUUUUCGAAACGUUUUGUUUAUAAUUAAUUGUUUGGGUUUUUUUUUUUUUUUUUUAUAAAAUUAGGAUGAGCUUGUUUUGGGUGCUUUUAAAGUUUUUUGUGUUGGGCUUCUUUUAAGUUGAUCAGUGGCAGUCACAUAAUUUAUAGGAACUUAAAUACCAAUUUCUUAUGUAGUAAAUGAGUUGUGGGUGUGUUUCUAAAGUGCAUUCCAUAUGAGUUUUUUUUAUAAUUCCAGUCCCUAUUUUGGAUAAAUUAGAUAAACUUCAACAGUACAAUUAAAGACAUAUCUAGAGUACCAAUUAGAAGAGGGCAACAAACUAACAUGUUAAAAACAAAACUAACGUGAAUAAAAGCUGCACUAAAAAUACUAGCCCACAUAACCAUAGUUAACCAUAAGCCCAAACAAAGCUCACAUACCCAACAUAACCAAAACCCUAAAGCAACCCAUGAGCCUAAACGAACCCUACCACCACCACUUGUCGAAGCCCCAUCGCUACCACACCCACCAACACAUCCCUAACUGGAAAAAAAAUAGUUUGCAGCGAUCUAUCUGCACAUAAGAGCAAACACAUAAACAAAAUAACUACCUUGACAAAGAAAAAUUGAGUGAUUUACAACAACCUCUGUCGAAAACAAUGUAGACCCAAAUUUAGAAAACAUGAGCAAUGUUAUAGAACGAGUUUUGUGAGAAGGAUUUGUUUGAGAAUGCCUAACAAAGAUUAUGAGGAAUUUCAAUCUAAGCAUGACUUGGAAGAAAUCAUCACAAAUGGCUUCUUAUUCUAGAGUUUUUUUAUUGUCACCAACUUUUAAGAUUAAAAUAAGAUUUAAUUACACAUACAUUCUCUGAAAUUUAGCUAAAAACACACAAAAACUAUUUUAGGAACUCUCUAUAAAAUUUGAACUCCAAUCAUACUCUCUAGUUUAAGGAAUCAUAAAUACUAUAAUUUUUUAAAACUCAAUAUAAUUGGUCCGUCACUCCUUCCUUGUUGAACAGGAGUUUUCGAAGCACCAAAGCAGCCAAGUCUUUGUCCAGAUAGGAUUGAAGCAUUCAUGCCUUUUUUAAACGGGCGUGGAACUUCAUUAUCAUCUGCCACACAGCGAGAGUAGAGAGGAAGAAUUUCUCUUGCUUUUGACUCCGUGGUGGGUUCAACACCACAUCCUCAUCAUCCAUUCUUUUUUUGGUCCUUUUUGUUUGCCUCAAACUGGUUGCAGGACCCAAACUCCUCUUACAUUGCAUACUUGAAUUUAUUUCAUUCAAGUUUUGUCUACUUUUUGUUCAAAGCCAUUAUGAAAUGCAAGCACGUGGUGGGCCUCUCUUCUUCGACCUUUUUUUCUGCAAUUGAUUGCAAGAUUGACUCCCCUUCCAAGGGGAGGCAUUCUUGCUUUGCCGUGAGCCAUAGAGAAUAUGUUUCUUUUUCUUGCUCUCUUGCUGUUGGGACUUUUGUCUCCCUGGCAGCAAUUUUGUUUGCAGCGAAGCCAGACUUGGAGCUUUUGGUAGAAAAUCUGCAGCAGGCUUAGAAAAAAAAAAGGAAGGAAAGAGAAAUAUAUAGGAAAAGAGGCCAAACCAUAUAACGUGGGUCGGCUGAUAAUUAGUCACUGACAAGUGUAUUAUUUCCUGUAUUUUUAUACCUGUUAUAUGUAGGUUUUGUUAUGGAAAGUUAAUUAAAGAGAGUACGUAUUAUUACUUUACUUUCCUUAUUUUCAGCUAUUCUGCGCUCUUGGAAGGAUUUCAAUUGAAAAUCGACUUUUCGAAUGAAUUUUAGUGCAAGGCCAAUUGUAAAAGAAAGCUAAGACAUUGAAGAUCAUUGUAUCAAGUUUCAUAAUUUUCUACCAAUCCAAAUGCUCCAGACCUGCAAGUCAAGACAGCCUAAGUUGAAAUCCUGUCAGAACUGCACUGCUGUGGAAGAUUAAAGAUUUGAAUAUCUUUCUGAUUUUUCCUAGUGGCGUGUAAUAUAUGCUUGGAAAGCUUAGAGAUAAAGCUACGUUUCUCAUAUUUUUCCAGAAUUUUCUAGGAAGUGGAACUACCCCAAAAAGUGCGUGCAAAUUGAAUGAUGUGUUUCCAAGUCAAAGAAGGAUUCUUUCCUAGUUUGUUUCCUUAAUUGUUUGAGAUUUUAUUUUGCUUUAGGAGAGUUUUUCUAGACCUUUUUGAAGUAUGGUUUAGUUGUUUUAUACUAUAUAAGGUCACCCUAGGAUCCUUUCAUACCAUCAUCUUUUCCAUCAUCUUCCCAUACACAACUUUCAUACACCCACAAAUAUAUCAGAGAGAGAGCCAAGAAUUCGUUGUGUUGCUGUGGAGAAUCCAGAGAUCAAAUCCAUCAGCCAAAUCGGUUUUUUGACAAUAAUUCUCUUAUUUAUCUUUUCUUUUGUCAUGAACUAAUUUUCCUUGCUAGGGCUACGAUGUAGCCUAACCAUGAAUACUUAAUUUUUAUAGUUAUAUUAAUUUUUUAUUACUAUUCCAUGUUGAGUAUUUGUUAUUGUUCUUAAUGCUUUGAAUAUCUGGCCAAUAUUUAAUUGAUUUGAUGAUCCAAGUGGAGACCGAGAGGAGAUGUUUGGUGUUUGCUUCUUAAAACAGAUACCAUGUCUUGAAUGAGUGCCCGAGAGGGACUAACAUGACUCAUUUAGUUUUCUUGCAGGUUCUCAUAGAACUUAAUGGGUUCUUGAUUUUCUAAAUCCGUUGCUCGAGAGAGAAUGGGUUGUUAAUUAAGAAUACUUUUGGUUGAGCCCGAGAGGGGAUAUCAAAUGAAUUAGGAGAAACCAACUGUCAACAUGGGUAGUAAUUAGGGUUAAUUGGCUAUAAGAAUUAAGUGGAAUUCGUUAUGGUGAAAUCGGAUGCUCAAUUUCUCAUCAACUUGAUUUUCUAUCAUUAAUUAAAUUGCUAUUUUUCAUAAUUAUUUUAGGUUACUUAAAUCAAUUAAUCUUCUUAAUCAAUUGUUCAAAUAAACUUUUGAAUUAAUCAUAAUUAGUAAUUAAUAGGAAAUUACAGUCUUCGUGGUAACGUCACUCUACUUAUUUCUAUAUUACUUGAACGAAUUUUGUGCUUGCAAUAAUUCCACAACAGUCACCAUAUAAUAAAUAUGAGGUAGAGAAUUUUAAACGUUUGGACCAGGGACGGAGCCAUGAAAAGAAUUCGAUGGGGGUAUCUCAUUAAAGUUUCACAAUGAUCAACUUCAUGCUUGUGAUAAGUGGCAGCUAAUAAAAUUUCAGUAAUGGGUGAAACCAAAAUUUUUUGCAGGUGCCGUUUCUAGUCACAUCAAGUCAUUCAAAAGUGGAAACAAUGGCCAGAGACACCACACCAAGUCAGGCAAAAAUAGAAAGAAAAAAAAAAUAGCCAGAGACACCGCACCAAAGUCAGGAAAAAAUGGGAAAAAAAAUGAAGGUCUAUGUUCAGUUGAUAUGAAGAACAUGGAAAACAAAUGGAAAUAAAAAUAGAAAGGAAGAAAAAGAGGAGUGUACAUUUUCAAUGGUUCUUGAGAGGAGAGAAAGAGCUGAGAAAAAAAAUAAGAAAAAAAAACCAAGAAAAAGGGAUGACAUAGACUGCGCUUGCUCCUUGCUCCUUGCUGAUCAGUCAAUUGGAUACCUGCUUGAAGCUAUUCUUUCUCUUUACUGCCCUGCCCGGAAGAUCCGUGAUUUUGAUGUCUAGAAGAGAAGAAAAAUGGGUUUUGUCAUCAAAAUAGGAGAAAAGGGACUGGACACAGUUUUUUGGAAUUUACAAAGGGCAUGAAUGACAAAACUCUAGGUUAUUUUAUAACUUCUACGCUGAAGACCUCUCUUUUUUAUGUAUAUAUGAAAACAAUGGGAAGUCAGUGUAGGCCAUGGCCUAUUGUGGGCACAAGGUGAAAUUGAUUCAUCUCUUUUAAAAGCAAAAAUCUAAACCAAUCAAAGAGAUGAGUGGGGGCGUCCGCACACAAUGAACCUAUGCUGGCUCCGUCCUAGGUUUGGACCAUAUAUUAGAUAUUGGGAUCAUAUAUAAAGCACCGGUAUAUAUUAGACUAGAACGUUGUAUAUCAUCUAAAUUCGAUCAUUUUCCUUGCAGUUAGGUAUCGAGAUGACCUGACAGUGAGGUAUUAAAUUAGGAUGCUAUAUUAUACAAGGGUCGCCCCAACUUUCUCCAAACACAGUGAGGAUUUAUUAGGGAUUGUCGGCACUGUGCGCAAUUUGAAUCCCUCUGGUGUACACGUUAGAGAUAACUGAGAGCACUCCUCAUAUAGUAUAACAUCAUUUUCAUGCAGUUGAACGCAUAUAUUGUGAUGGCACUGAUUGAAGUAAGACAUUAUUAACUUAGGACGCGCAUUAUAUAAUGGCCAACUUUCUGCAGACUGAUGUCAUGCAACGAACGAUCAACCUUCUUGUAAUAAAAUGGGGCUUUUAAGCACGGUUUUCGAUAAGUCCUGUGUAGAGUUCUGGGGGAGGAAAUGGAAUAUACAAGACAUAUGCGUAGUGGUCGUGUUUUUGGCUUUGCAUUGCCUUUGUUUAUUUGCACCCCUUCAUUUCAACUGGCGUGCAUUUUGGGUGGCUAUGGCUCUCUCUCUUUUGACUGGUUUAGGAGAGACUCUCUCUUACCACAGAAAUCUUGCCCACAGGAGUUUCACUCUUCCAAAAUGGCUCGAGUACUCCUUUGCCUACUGUGGGGUUUUGUCACUUCAGGUAUAUAAUAGGUACAUACAUGAAAUUAUUCUUAUACAUCGAUAAAUAAAAAAUAAAUAAAAGAAAGGUGUGACUGGAAAAGGAUUUCUUGUGAUGAAGAACGUUUCUCACCUUUUUUUUUUUUUUUUUUCACUGUAUUAGCUAUAGCUGUUACUUAGUAGAAAGAUAAAAAUAUGUUUGUGCGUGCGUGUUUGGGUUUGCAGGGUAGUCCGAUUGAAUGGGUGAGUACACACCGGUUCCACCAUCAGUUUACUGAUACAGAGAAAGACCCUCACAGCCCCAUCAAGGGUUUUUGGCAUAGUCACAUGGGUUGGAUCUUUGAUAGCAGUUGUCGGUUUGGACAAGUAGAAAACAAAUCUCUCUCUCUCUCUCUCUCUCUCUCUCUCUCUCUCUCUCUCUCUCUCUCUCUCUCAUACAUACUUCGUCAUUUUUAUAUAAAUGAGAAAUUUGCAGUAUGGGGGGGCCUAAAGAACGUUGAAGAUUUGAAGAAGCAGCUCUUCUAUAGGUUUCUUCGUCAUACUAACCUUCUACAUUCAGUUCUUCUUGGAGGUUUACUAUAUGCUGCGGGUGGAUUUUCCUUCUUGGUUUGGGGAAUGGUGAGAUUGGUUACUUACUGGUUAAUUUCCAUUAAAUUUAAAUGAGAACAUAUGGUCUUUAAAAAUUUAUAUCCAAAAGUAAGUAAAGUGGAAACUGUAUAUACCAUCCAUGUGGUUCACGUAAGUCGAUUUGCUUUUUGUACAUUCAUAUUUCGUGGUACGUGCUUGCAAUAGAGUCUAAAAACUACUCGCAAAUUCUUCUCACAAAUUUAUCAUUAUAUAACCUCUUUCUUUAUAUAAUGGUCCUGGACGUGCAUCUUUGACUCCUCGUUUAUAUACAUACAAUUUUUAAUUAAACAACCUAUGCUAAUUAAUGAGUCAAUAAAUACAUUAUGGGAUGAGGAAGUAUAUAUGAAAGUUCAAACUGUGGAAUUUAAAACCUUGUGAUGGCAUAUGUGUACUUAGUCAAGUUAAUUAGAGUCGAUGUGCUCCCCACUCUUUACCCGAGUUCAAAUCCUCCUCCUCGUAGUUUAAAUUAGAUUAAAGUAAAAAAAAUUCACAUAUAGCAUAAAACCCACUUAAAAAGACACAAAUACCCUCAAAAUUAAAACUCACAUAAACCUAAAAAAUUUCUAAGUAAAAUCGAUUGCUUGAAUCUCCACACGAAAUUCCUUCCCUUCUUCUUUAACUAACUUCUCAAAUUGUUUCACUGCAAUGAGUUUUUUUUCCCUAUGUUUAAACUCCUUUUGUAAACUCUCCCAACGGCACUUUCCCAAUUCUUGUUUGUGGUAGUAAUGACCAUGGUAAUUGGACUCUUGAGGAUAUUUAUUAGAUUGGUGUUGCUCUGAGUGUUGUUUAUAGUGUUACUUGUUAUGAUGCCGACCUUGAAGACAGCCGUGAUGGACUCCUUGAGAUCCCUUCGGACAUGUCUGAGUGGUAAGUUUUGUUUGGCACAAAUAUUACUCACACCAUAGAAAACAGCAGCCCCGCCAUUGCAGUCUUUCAAACAAGACCUUUAUAUCCACACAAAUUAGCCAAAAACCUGCUUGAUCAAACAUAAGCAAUUAAUACACAACAAAAAUAUAUUAAUUUUGAGAUGUUCAAACAAAACUUGUAAAGUCUAGUAAGAGAUGAUCACCUUCAAAAGAUUAAAUUUCUUUUUACUUUUAGGUUUAUAUGAGUUUUAAUUUUGAGGAUAUUUGUGUCUUUUUAAGUGGAUUUUCCGCUACAUCUGAAAGUUUUUAUACAAACUGAUAUUUGUGAAAAUAAUUGUCAAAUUUUAACUAUUUUUUAUAAAGACUCGGUGGUGGGGGUGCCGAAGGUGGUUUUGUUUUUGGCUAUAUGUGGUUUUUUAUAUAUUAAAAUCAUAUUGUUUUGAGAUUUUUAAGAAACAAAAUUUAGGAGAAUUUGGACAUAAAAUUUACGACCUUUUCAUAUUCUAAAUUUCUUUCAUGCUGAAUUUAAAACUUCUUCAUUUAUCAACCCAAUUAAUAAAUAAAUUAUAAUAUAUCAUUCCUUUAAACACGAAUUUUUUCUAAAUACCAUGUUUAACUUCUCCAUCCAAAUAUGUUCUAAAUCUAAAUUCCUUAUAAUUUCAGGGGUUGAGGAUGGUACUUAUUUUCCACGGCACUUUUCUAGUUAAUUCAGCGGGCCACAUGUGGGGAAAGAAACCAUGAAACACGGGUGAUACGUCUAGGAACAAUUGGUAUAUUGUAUUAUUUAUUUCCCACUCUGCCAUAUUUCAUCUUGCUAGAUGUAAAAUUGGGAUAUUAAUAUAUUUUAUGCAUAAUCUUUAAUAAUUUAGGUGGGUGACACUGUUAACGUUUGGAGAAGGGUGGCAUAAUAACCACCACGCUUUUGAAUACUCAGCUCGACAAGGGCUAGAAUGGUGGCAAUUUGAUUUUACUUGGUACAUAAUAAAAUUUCUUCAAGCUAUUGGAUUGGCAACAGAUGUGAAGGUCCCAACUCAAAUUCAAA